AGUACCUUAUUUUGAGCUUUAUAUAUAUAUGCAUAUAUAUAUGUAUAUGUAUAUUCCAUAGUUUCCUAUCCUGAAAGGUAGUCAUCAUUUACAAAUGAUACCUUAUGGUAUUUACUGUGACAAAUAUUAAAAUAAUUUUAAUUCAAGAUUUGUAAAGUAUACAUUUUGUAAAUCACCUUUUUCUCCAGACUAAUUUUUAAUACCUUAUUGGAUCAUUCACAGUGGCUGAGCGUUUCUGAAAGAAAUAUAUCAGCAGCAAUCUUGAGCCCUUCUUUAAUAACAGGAUAUGUUCUGCUCAAGGUAACUGGUCACUGUUUUUUGUUUUUUUUUAUUUUCCCAAAGUAAAUGUCCAUGUUCCAGAAAUGCAGAUGUAUUUUUUUUUAAUAAGUGAAAGGUUGCAUUAAUAAAACCAUUUUAUUUGCAGUGCUGAAAUAGGUUUAGAAGCAACUUUACCCUUUACGUGGGCCAGUAACAUCUUAAUGGCCCACCUAGAAUAAUUUAUCUUUUUUUUUUAAUGUUUCUCCUGAAAUGCAACUUCACUUUAUUUAAGAUGGUUAAGACCAAAAGGGGGAGAAAGAAUACUGGAGAAAUUCUUAUUUUGCCUUUACUUCUCCUUUGUGUUCUCCUGAGUAUGUGGAUUUCUUCAACUGAUUUUGCCUGAAUCUUGAUGCUCCUUUGGGUUGAGAAUUACUUAAAAUUUAUUUAACAACUAUCGUUAUUACUGCCCUACUGCAUUUAGCAAGUUUUAACGAUGUUAAAGGAAAAGUCAUUGCGCUGGAUCUGACAGUACAUGAGAGGUAAAUCUGCCACAAUUCCAUGUCCCAGCUUCAGUCAGUAACACAUAGCAAGGCUGAUCUGUAUUCUCAGCAGUUGUACACGGGCAGAGCAAAUGCAUUCACCACAUAUAUCCAAGUCUGGCUGCUGGCACCCGGAGCCUAACUACAUUUUCUGGCAUCAAGGAUACAUGGCCACUGUGACCUGCAAUCAUACUCCAGUUUUUAACAGUGAAGUCUGCUGUGGUGUCUUCACUUGCUGACAUCACAGACACACAGGUUCUCCAAGCUGUAGGUGUACAGUGAUUCCAGUUGAUAUGCUUAGAAACUCCCUUAUACAAACCUAUACAGUCAGAUAUAGUCCUUCACUCAGGAAAAGAGUUAGAAAUGAAUUUAGGCAGGUUGCACUGGACAGGUACAGGAUGUGAGGGGUAAGCUUACUGACCAGACAAUUAAAAAAUUAAUUUUGUAUGACCAGCCAUUUUUGUCCUGUAUCUUUCUAUUUUCCCCAUGCUUGUUCCUCUCCAAACUGCCAUCAGGUGAGGCUGAUGGAGCUUGGACUGUUCAGCCUAGAGAAACAGAGGCUCAGGGAGCAUCUCAUCAGUAUCUUUAAAUACCUGAAGAGAGGCUGCAAAGAUGAAACCAGGAUCUUCUCAGUGUUGCCUAGUGACAGGACAAGAGGCAGUGAACACAAAAUGGAACACAGGAGGUUCCGUCUGAACAUCGAGAGGUGCUUAUUUACUGUGAAGUUAACUGAGUACUACAAUAAAUUGUUUAGAGAAGUUGUGAUAUCUUCUUCCUAGGCAAUCUUGAAAAGCCACUUGGACAUGAUUCUUAGCAGCCUGCUCUAGUUUAGUCUAUUUGCUUGAUCAGAGAAGUUGGAUGACAUAACCUCCAGAGGUCCCUUCCAACCUCAACCAUUCUGUGAUUCUGUAAAUCCAUAUCUUUCCUUUCCUUUGGUUUUAUGUACAAGUACCUCAUCAGAAGUCUUCUGUAAUCCUAAAGUACUCUUCUGUAUGUCAUAAUGUGUUCAUAAUGCUAGGGCAUCCCCUGCCUCCCCAACUUCCACCAUAGCUGGUAAAAUGCUCUAUUCUUGACUCAUGAUAUGUUUCAUUCUUCAAGAACGGGGCUGAAGCUCUCCUGGGACAGUCCUGAGAGAUUGGGCGAAUUCCUGUUACGGGUCUGUAAGCCAGGACAGAGUAUUAUUUGGGCUCCCCUCCAAUCAAUUGUCUCUCUGGACUCCUUUGUAGGAGUACAGCUUCAUGGUUACUUCCCUGCAAUCAGAUGAUUUUCACAGGUCAUUUCCUUCUACAUCUAUGAAGAUGAGUCUGUGGGUCUGAUGAUCUUCCAUGGGAGUUCCUCCACAUUGUAACAGAUGCAGUUCCUGUUUUAUCAAAUUUAUAUGUUUGCUAUAAUGGUUACCUCAGAGUAGUUCUGCAUGUCACUGUGAAGUAAAUGGUGAAUAUUACAUUAAACCUUGUGUUCUAUAUCUUCCUUACUGAAAACAUGAGGAAAAAGUAGCUGUGUGUAGUGAAGACAAUCAGGCUGCAAGAGGAGGGAACAAGUGGAAGUUUAUAGUUAGCACUAGUCCAUCAACUUAACAGCUUUCUGCAAGUGAAGAAAACUAAAUCCAAACUCAGAGACUGUUGGUUGUGGUUGCUCAAAUUGGAUGUGUCCUUGUGCUGUUAAAUGUGGUAAAAACAUGGGCACCUGCAUCAAAAGUUAAAUAUUAAGUCACAAACUAUAAGGAAGCUAUCAAGAGAAGCAUUGCCAAGUUUGCAAGCAUCACAGAAGGCAGAAUGUGGACAGAGAAGCCAUGAUGAGGUAGCAUAACAUAAUGGUAUGUCAUUGAUCUAAUGUAUUAUUAUUUUAAAUGUAAGUAUUAAUUCUUUAUAAUUCCUUCACCUCUGAUCAAGUUCUCUCCUUAAACACGUGGGCAUUUAAAAGAGGAGGGAAUAUUGUCAAACACAGGUAAGAUAAUUCCUGCUUGCCAAAUGUCCUUUAUUUUUAUAUGAAAAAAAAGUGUAAUUCCUGUUUUACUGGAUGAUAUUAAUGUAGGUUCUCAUAUGCUUUAAGAAAAUUUCCUCACUAAAGAAACAUUCUGUGUUUUAGUUGAGCUUCUCUACCAACACAAAGCAAGAUGUACAACAGGAGAAGGGGCUUGCAGCAAGAAUCACAUUUUCUAAUACCAAAGCAAUGAAUUUAACAAUAGCAUACAUCAAAGAACUGGCAGUUCUUCCCAAUAAAAAUGCUAAAUACUGUGAAUCUUCAUCUGGAUUUAUUUCUUUGGUUACAGACAGAGAAUAAAGAGUAAUCACUGAAGGUUAAAAGGGAAACUAGGAAGAAAGGAGAUUAUCUUGCCUUUAGAAGUUCCUGAAUUUUCAAACUGUUUAAAAGUUACAGCAUCUAAUUAGUAUCAUUCAUACUUCAUAUAAUCCUUUGUAGCUUCUUCAAAAGAUGCCUCACUUGUUGUUAGAUUUCCAUGCCUUUGAGAAACUUUUGGCUUCUCUGAGAAAGAAAAACUCCUGUUUAUAUGAAAAAGGGAAUAUAAAAAGCAGGGAAGAGUAUCAUGAAUGAGCUUGAAGUAGGAUGAUGAUGAUAAUACUGAAAAUAAAGUUGAAAUAAUGACAUGAAAUAGGAAGGCAGUUGGAGAAGCAAUAAAAAGGAAAUGAAUAUUAGCUAUAUUUGAGUAUUUUUGUACGAGUCCACCCAAAUAAGAACUGUAAUAUGACCACUUAAAUAUAUAUACAUAUACAUUAGGUCUAUUAUCUUCCAGACCUAUCUGAAAAGUCUUUUAUUUCUUUUCCAAACAGUUUAGAGGAACUAUUUUCAAAUGUAGGCAAAACAUAAAUGAAUACUCUAUGUACUAUUACUGGGAUUUAUAAAAUGAAAGUAAUGAAAGUUUGUUUGUUUGUUUGUUUGCUGUUUUUUCCUGUAUUGUUGUUUUAGAACAGAUUCUGUUUUGCUAUUGGGAAAUCAUUUUGGUGUGGUUUGCUUUCAUUUAGUCCAAUAGAUGAUGAUGUUUAAAAUGUAGAGCUAAAGAUAAAGCCUUUAUUAAGUGUGUAGUUGUGCAUAAAGGAACACUUUUCAUGGUAUUUCUGAUUCUGAAAAGAAUCAUAAAUACAAUGCACUGGAUUCUAUGUGCUGAAUAAAAUAAUCUAUCAUGUCAAAAAAUGAAGUAUCCUAGAGCUUUUUAACUUGAACAUCUAUCUCAUCAUUGAAAAUAGCAUCUUAAGAGAAUAUUCAGAAUUGCUCUAGGCUUCCCAGCCUGCUUAUCAAGAUCCAACUCUUCAUAAAGAAAUCUGUUAGAUGAUCUGCAACAUAUUCAGCAGAUAAACAUAAAAUGCUUGCUCUCAUCAUUGAUCUUCCUGACUGGCAGAUGAUGUGUAAACAGAAUGAUUCUAGUCUGACGGUUCAUUAUAUAUUUACAUGAGGAUGAUCAAGAAGAAAGGUUCCUUUAAUUAGAUGGUUAGACCCUGGGGGAUCUCUGACACACUUGAUUUCCCCCAGAGCAGCAAGUCAUUUAAAUUCUAUGAAUCCCUGAGGCUUGGUAAGCCUCUUGGGCUCUGACAAGUGUCUCAGUGUCCCACAGCGGCUAAAACAAAUGCAGGUUGAAUGUACUUUUCUCAAAAGUGUAAGUACUGUGCGGCUUUUUAUCUCCAGUUCUAAUUUCUUUUUCUAAAUGUGAAGACUUAUAUAUAAGUACAUAGUAAAUAGCUAAUGUGAGGUAAAUUGAGUAUAAAAUAGCCACUUAGAUAUUAUAAUAUAAACUAUUGUAACUUCUUGACCUAUUUUUUAACAUGCAUUCAAAUAGCUGUACACAAAGCAAUUAAGCAUUCAAAACCUCUGAAUUGCAGCAAUUUUCUCAUCUAUAUCUUCAUAAAUAGUGCUCUAUCAUUGUUAAUUUAUGGGAGUUAUUUAAGACUCACAGCAGUAUGAUAGAUUUUCCUAUAUAACUAACACUAAAAGUUGUGCUUUUUAUUUUUUUCCAACAGACAGAAUAUUUUCACUAAAAUACAUUAAGUUCUGGGGAGCUAAUAGUUGAAAGAUAAAAAUAGUAAGAUGCAGAGCAAUUAGGAUAUUCACUUUGGAAAGUAUUUUGAAAGUAACUCAGCACAGGUGAUAGAAAGUUGAAGAGUAGGUUUUACAAUCUUUUCUGCUGAAGAUCUCUAAGGAGAUGACAAAAAUGUCUUUCAGGAUCAUCUCUUGUAAAGUUAGGACAGGAAACUGAAGUAGAUUGCCUCUUGCUAUCUUUCAUAACCCUAUCUUUUCCAUUCUAUAUGUGAUUAAACAUUAGAUCACUCAUAGACCCCAAAGAUGCAGAAGUGAGAACGCUCAUAAAUAAUCAUAUGUGAGCACAGACGGAGUAAUAGACUACAGGAUUUGAGCCUCUAAACUUGAAACAGCAUAGGGCCUACUGGUGCCAUUCAUGCUGAGGACACAACAACCCACAAUCACAGUUUACCUUAAAUUACUACAAAAUGAUCUACCCAAGAAUGUAGAUGUUAGCCAGUGACUCCCUAAAAUACCAUUCCUUUACACUCUCAAGGAUUGUCUUGAUUCCGAUGUCUACCCAAAGAGCACAGAGAUGCAAAAGUCUAUGUAAGGUGAAGAUAGAAGGAGCAAUAUGGAAGAAAAUACAGAUCAGAGAAAUGCUAUUUAGAAAGAUCAGUUGUGUCUUUUUUCUUUCUCCUAGCUAAUACUAAGCAUAUUUUUAGCUUAAUAAAUAUGAUUUUGCCUUUAAUUGUAAAUGACCACAGACUUCAAGUUCCUCUAGCAGUGUGAGAUCUCAGGAUUUCUAUCUAUUUCAACUGAUUUUUAGCUCAUUUUAGCUCUAACAGCAGCUUUUGAGAGGGCAGUAUAUUUUUGCCUGAACUGCUGUGGCUUAGCUCUUUGAAUGUUAUGAAUGGUAACUGCCUGAAUCCUAGCCGCUGCUAAUCAUCAGCCCUUUAUAUUAACUGAGGAGAGGAAAAACUAUUUUGUAAGAGUAGACACUGAUAGCAGUCAAAUCACUGAAAAGAAAAGCAAGCUGAGUGUAUUAGAAAAUGCAGCAGAAUAACCUGGAGAACUUGGAACUAAGGUGGAAGAAUGUUCUCGCAUAGAUCUUAAACUGCUAAAGUAUAGCAUUGCAAUCUGAGAGAAAUAGCCUUGUCCAUAGAAAUAAAACUUUCAUAAACUAUCCCUUGUGUGAAGUCCUGAAUUUGUCUCAGUGAGCUUACUUUGAGCCUGUAAGGUGAACUAUCUAACAUCAUCCUGCAGAAUUACACCCAAACAAAAUGACAGCACUCCCAUUUGAGUUCUCUCCACAUAACCAUAUAGAAAUGUGGGACAGAAAAUUCAAAUUAAUCUUCCUUCAUCUUUUCGUACAAAGGUGGCCCCCAGGAGAACUCAAGGGUUUUGUGCAUUUGCCCCAGGGCUUUGCUCCACAUCCUUAAAGAGACAAGAACUCUCUAAGGCCCUUGCUCAAAUGGCAAAGGUAUGUCAUGCAAAGCAUCUGCAAGCAUGUAAUAGUUCCCUGUAUGUGCCUAGGGCUUUCCUGGGGUUACGUGGGCCAAAACACUGACCGGAGGUCUUUUACUGAGCUGCUGCAUAUAGAAAAAAUCUUGUUAUAUUUUAGUUUGUAAGUGUAGGUAUAGGCAGUGUUUUCCUAAGGCAUAGGCUCAUUUCUUUUAUAUGUUUACAGUAAUAGUAUCAAUGGCAAAUUUUACAACUAAGCUUUACUAUCAUGCCAUUCAACUUAAUCCAUGGUAUUUAGUAAGCAUCUUAUCCAGUUUACUUUGCUGAUCUUCUGCAUUAGAAUCACUUUGUCAUAUAUAAUCAAGCACUAUUUCAGUUGAAAUUUGUCUCAUUCACUGGAACUGCGAGUUCAUGGAACAUAACUUUGAUAGGUGUCAAAUUUUAGCUUUUAUAUUAAUUUAUUGGCUUCUGUUAUGUUUAGUCAAGAAGGAAUUUUGAUCGAACCCAGCCUCUUGAGAUCUGGAACUAUUUAGAUUAUUUUUGUAGAACUGUGGCACUUCUUGAUGUAGAAAAAGUUUAAAUAUUUUUAUGCUUGUUUCCUAGUGGUGUUUUGUUUUGUUGUUCUUUAUGAUUUGGUUUCUCAACAAGGUGCCCCUGGUUUUAAAAUGUUUCCAUCCUUUUAAUAAACAUAUAAAAUAAUACUUUGUGAAAAGUUGAUGUGUAGAUUGAGAAAAUAAAAGAAAACUGAACUCAUAGUUGUCUAAGCAGAACCCCCUCCCUUCCUCCCUUCCUCCUUUAUCUUCCUUUCUUCCUUCCUUACUUUCCUUACUUCUUUCCU